rnacentral:rRNA from 1 species
GCGUAUAUUAAAGUUGUUGCAGUUAAAACGCUCGUAGUCGGGUUUCGGGUCGGGCCGAGCGGUCUGCCGAUGGGUAUGCACUGUUUGGCGCGGCCUUCUUUCCGGAGACCGCGGCUACUCUUAACUGAGCGGGCGUGGGAGACGGAUCGUUUACUUUAAAAAAAUCAGAGUGUUUCAAGCAGGCAGCUCGCUCUUGCAUGGUACAGCAUGGGAUGAUUGAAUAGGACUCCGGUGCUAUUUUGUUGGUUUCGAACACCAGGAGUAAUGAUUAACAGGGACAGUCAGGGGCACUCGUAUUCCGUCGAGAGAGGUGAAAUUCUCAGACCAAUGGAAGACGAACCACUGCGAAAGCAUUUGCCAGGGAUGUUUUCACUGA